GGGGAAUUUUCCGCAAUGGGCGAAAGCCUGACGGAGCAAUACCGCGUGAGGGAUGAAUGCCUAUGGGUUGUAAACCUCUUUUUUCAGGGAGGAAUCAAUGACGUGUACCUGAAGAAUAAGCAUCGGCUAACUCCGUGCCAGCAGCCGCGGUAAGACGGAGGAUGCAAGUGUUAUCCGGAAUCACUGGGCGUAAAGCGUCUGUAGGUGGUCCAAUAAGUCAACUGUUAAAUCUUGAGGCUCAACUUCAAAAUCGCAGUCGAAACUAUUAGACUANAGUAUAGUAGGGGUAAAGGGAAUUUCCAGUGGAGCGGUGAAAUGCGUAGAGAUUGGAAAGAACACCGAUGGCGAAGGCACUUUACUGGGCUAUUACUAACACUCAUAGACNAAAGCUANGGUAGCAAAUGGGAUUANAUACCCCAGUUAGUC
rnacentral:rRNA from 1 species